rnacentral:lncRNA from 12 species
AUGAAUAUAGCAGAAGAGAGGCCAGUCCGUCGGCAGGCACCUCUGACAGAUCUCCGCUCUCCUGUGCCCGAGAAGAGCUUCCACUGGAGAGGAGGACCCCUGUGUGGGGGAAAUCGGAGACACUGGUUCUUCUGCCCUGUUUCUCUUCGGCCCUGGAAGCUGCCCACCUGCAUACCUCCUGUUCUUCUCUGCCGCUGUCAACUCAGGAAAGAAGCUUAAGUCAGUUUUUCUGGAAUCAGGAUCAACAUCUGAAGAAGAAGUGGAGGUCUUAGGAAGAGAAGAGGUAUGUUAGUCAGAAUAGAGGAUGUCCCCAUCACCCUGAGACAGUUCAAGUUCAUACCAGGAGCAGAAUCUAAGUUCGUGUCUCUAGGCCACUGGCUCUGAGUGUGAGUGUGUACAGAAUACCCUGGGAGUUGUAUUUAAUCUGAAAAAUCCUGGACCCCACCCACGGGGCUCCUUCUGGUUGACUAGAGCUGCAGGGAGCAAGGGAGGGGGAUGUGCAGCCUGGAAUGCUGCACUCUGAAAAGUGUCCCUGGGCAAUUCUGAAACG